rnacentral:rRNA from 1 species
UCAGUUAUCGUUUAUUUGAUAGUACCUUACUACUUGGAUACCUGUGGUAAUUCUAGAGCUAAUACAUGCUAAAAACCUCGACUUCGGAAGGGGUGUAUUUAUUAGAUAAAAAACCAAUGCCCUUCGGGGCUCCUUGGUGAUUCAUAAUAACUUAACGAAUCGCAUGGCCUUGCGCCGGCGAUGGUUCAUUCAAAUUUCUGCCCUAUCAACUUUCGAUGGUAUUAUAGAGGAUUACCAUGGUUUCUACGGGUAACGGGGAAUUAGGGUUCUAUUCCGGAGAGGGAGCCUGAGAAACGGCUACCACAUCCAAGGAAGGCAGCAGGCGCGCAAAUUACCCAAUCCCGACACGGGGAGGUAGUGACAAUAAAUACUGAUGUGGAGCUCAUUAGGGUUUCACAAUUGGAAUGAGUACAAUUUAAAUCCCUUAACGAGGAACAAUUGGAGGGCAAGUCUGGUGCCAGCAGCCGCGGUAAUUCCAGCUCCAAUAGCGUAUAUUAAAGUUGUUGCAGUUAAAAAGCUCGUAGUUGAAACUUGGGUCUGGCUGACCGGUCCGCCUCACCGCGUGCACUGGCUCGGCCGGACCUUUCCUUCUGGGGAACCGCMUGGCCUUCAUUGGUCGUGCUGGGGAUCCAGGACUUUUACUUUGAAAAAAUUAGAGUGUUCAAAGCAGGCCUAUGCUCGAAUACAUUAGCAUGGAAUAAUAGAAUAGGACGUGUGGUUCUAUUUUGUUGGUUUCUAGGACCGCCGUAU